rnacentral:rRNA from 1 species
CACCCUACGGGGCGCAGCAGGGGGGGAUAUUGCACAAUGGGGGGAACCCUGAUGCAGCGACGCCGCGUGGGUGAAGAAGCGCCUCGGCGCGUAAAGCCCUGUCAGCAGGGAAGAAAAUGACGGUACCUGAAGAAGAAGCCCCGGCUAACUACGUGCCAGCAGCCGCGGUAAUACGAAGGGGGCAAGCGUUAUCCGGAUUUACUGGGUGAAAAGGGGGCGCAGACGGCGAGGCAAGCCAGGAGUGAAAGCCCGGGGCCCAACC